rnacentral:lncRNA from 1 species
GCCCUUGCAAACUAAAUUUAACUUACUUCACUUUGUACUCCAAUAUCUAGACCCUAAAUAUAUAAAUUUUAAUUCUCAAAAACAUCAUGGUCUUAAAAUAGUUGAUACAUUUAAUUGUGUUUUUUGUUUCCACACAGACUUUCUUGCCACUAGAUAUGGGCAUGCUAAAAAUUUUGUGUGAUAAGUCUAAUGGCUAAGGGUGUGGUAGAUGCACG